UACGUAGGGUGCAAGCGUUGUCCGGAAUUAUUGGGCGUAAAGAGCUCGUAGGCGGUUUGUUGCGUCGGCUGUGAAAACCCGAGGCUCAACCUCGGGCCUGCAGUCGAUACGGGCAAACUAGAGUACUGCAGGGGAGACUGGAAUUCCUGGUGUAGCGGUGAAAUGCGCAGAUAUCAGGAGGAACACCGAUGGCGAAGGCAGGUCUCUGGGCCAUUACUGACACUGAGAAGCGAAAGCAUGGGGAGCGAACAGG
rnacentral:rRNA from 1 species